GAUGAACGCUGGCGGCGUGCUUAACACAUGCAAGUCGAACGGAAAGGCUCCUGCUUGCAGGGGUACUCGAGUGGCGAACGGGUGAGUAACACGUGGGUGAUCUGCCCUGCACUUCGGGAUAAGCCUGGGAAACUGGGUCUAAUACCGGAUAGGACCACAUUUUGGAUGGUGUGGUGGAAAGUUUUUCGGUGUGGGAUGAGCUCGCGGCCUAUCAGCUUGUUGGUGGGGUAAUGGUCUACCAAGGCGUCGACGGGUAGCCGGCCUGAGAGGGUGUACGGCCACAUUGGGACUGAGAUACGGCCCAGACUCCUACGGGAGGCAGCAGUGGGGAAUAUUGCACAAUGGGCGCAAGCCUGAUGCAGCGACGCCGCGUGGGGGAUGACGGCCUUCGGGUUGUAAACUCCUUUCGCUAGGGACGAAGCGUUUUUGUGACGGUACCUGGAGAAGAAGCACCGGCUAACUACGUG
rnacentral:rRNA from 1 species